GCUCGUAGUUGGAUUUUGGGUUAGGGUGUCCGGUCCGCCGUUUCGGUGUGCACUGGGCGCUCUUUCCUUUCUGCCGGGGACCGUUGGGUGUCUUAAUUGCCAUCCCUCGGGAGUCGGCGUUGUUACUUUGAAAAAAUUAGAGUGUUCAAAGCAAGCCAUCGCUCUGAAUACAUUAGCAUGGAAUAACAUGAUAGGACUCCGCUCUUAUUUUGUUGGUUUCCGAGACUGGAGUAAUGAUUAAGAGGGACAGUCGGGGGCAUCCGUAUUUCAUUGUCAGAGGUGAAAUUCUUGGAUUUAUGAAAGACGAACUUCUGCGAAAGCAUUUGCCAAGGAUGUUUUCAUUAAUCAAGAACGAAAGUUGGGGGCUCGAAGAUGAUCAGAUACCAUCCUAGUCUCAACCAUAAACGAUGCCGACUAGGGAUUGGCGGAUGUUCCUUAGAUGACUCCGCCAGCACCUUAUGAGAAAUCAUUAAGUUUUUGGGUUCCGGGGGGAGUAUGGUCGCAAGGCUGAAACUUAAAGGAAUUGACGGAAGGGCACCACCAGGCGU
rnacentral:rRNA from 1 species